GAAGCAGAUUGGAUAAUCGCUGGUGUCUGUGUCGAGAUACCAGAGGAAAGUCCGAGCUCCACAGAGCAGGGUGCUGGGUAACACCCAGGCGGAGCGAUCCGACGGAAAGUGCCACAGAAAAUAUACAGCCGAUGGCCCUGAAUCCAGGGAACAGGCAAUGGUGAAAAGGCGGGGUAAGAGCCCACCGCGGGUCUGGUGACAGAGCUGGCAGGGUAAACCACACCUGGAGCAAGAUCGAAUAGAAAAGCGGAUGAGGGUGGCUCGCCCGAUGCUUUUGGGUUGAUCGCUUGAGGUGAUCGGUAACGAUCAUCCCAGAUGAAUGAUUAUCGUUCCGGCAACGGAAAACAGAACUCGGCUUACAGAUUUGCUUCGACU
rnacentral:RNase_P_RNA from 1 species